rnacentral:rRNA from 1 species
GCCCGGUCACAUCCCGAACCCGGAAGCUAAGCCCUUCAGCGCCGAUGGUACUGCACUCGGUAGGGUGUGGGAGAGUAGGACACCGCCGAAC